CACGUUGUAUAAAGGAAUAAGGAGAUAUGCUACAUCAGCUACUAUGAGAUGACUAAAAUGCCCCUUAUUUUAAAUAAAUUCAUACUAAGUACACAUGUUGACACCACAUUAUCACUCACUCUUCUAGUAUAGUAGAAAUAGAAAAAAAAAAUUAACUUAAACCCCAAAGCUUAGAUGAUUAUACAGUUACUUGCAUCUUUGGUUUUAAUUUCUCUUUCCCGGUUUUUAAGUUGCAAAGGGUAUGUACUAUAUUACAAAUAUAUAGAAAUGUCAUAAAGUAGGCAGUGGAAGCUGGUAGGUGGAGGUUAGUGGAAGCUGGUUGAUGGAGGUUAGCCUGCUCGUAAUAUUGUAUAAAAGUGUCAUAAAGUAAGGCAGGUGAAAGCUGGCAGAUGGAGGUUGGUCUGCCAGUUUUUCAAAGGUUAUUUUCAUCAUUUUAAUAAGGAUAAAUUGGUCAUUUUAAAUUUCAAUUGCUACACGUAUAACUUUGGGAAUGAUAAAAACAACCGCUGGCAUUUCCAUUGUUCCUUCUUGAUGAAAGCUUCUUCCUUUCCAUUGAAGAAUUCUCAUAAUCUUUUUGUUGUUACUAUCCUCUGAUAAUCUUCCUGUAUUGUGUUUUACGAAUGGUAAUAUUUCGUUGCUUCAGCAUCUGGAAGAUUCAUGAAAUCGGGGAUUGUUGCAGUCUGUGAAAUAUGUGCAGUUAACAUGUUCAAAACUUUUCCUCCCAAGUAUCUCUUAGCAAAAGUGAACAGGUUACCGCUCUAACAUCUUUAUCUGCUCUAAAUCAACAAGAAAGCAUUUGUGUUUAUAGACGUUAAAUGCCUAUAGCUCGCUGAUCUGUGUGUCAAUAUGAUUGCAUUAAUAUGUCUUAUAUUUCAGUUACCUGAGUGCUGCAGAUGAAAAUAAUUUAAUUUCCAUCAAAAAUGCACUUAAAAUAUUUGAGGAUAAGUGCACAUGAGAGAUUUGCAGCAAAAGGGUAAUCCAACUGGGGUUGCUACACGGAAUAUUCCUUAUUGGCAGGUAAAGCUGUUUAAACUGGUUGACUUGAUGGUGAAAAAUCGUACCAUACGAAAUGUGUUUACUAAUAUAUAUAUACAAGCUAUUACUUAUGGAACUUUUCCAAAUUUGUAGAAAGAGUUUUUGGAACUUAGUUGCAACCUGACUGUUCUGAUGUAGCUUCUUUCUGAGAAUAUCAAAUAUUCUUUACUUUGAUCGGAACAUAGUUAUUGUUUGACUUGGCAUCAUAGCCAGUAGUUACUUGAGAUGAGAUGUUUCUACAUUCGUUCUUCUAAGUGAUAUUUGUUUGUGUUGUCCUGCUAUUGUGUUCGAAUUACUGUAGCCGUUGAUUAGCGCAACUUUUUGUGCUACAAAGCUUACUCAGAUUUAAAGAACCUUCUGUCCUACUAUGUUGUCGAGACGAUGAUGUUUCUUUGAAUGAAGAUGUCUUGGAUGCAGCAAAGGUGGAGUAGGCAGAGAAGGCUCAAGUUCAUGAAUUAUAUUUUUCAGAUAGUGGUAGUGGUUGUUUUUGCUUGAUUUUUCACAAUCUUGUGAUGUACAUAAAUUGAUGUACAUAAUUUGGAUAAAAAAAGCUAUGUUUGAGAAAUCUAAAACCUACGGAAUUCAACUCGAUUCAACUCGACUCACCUCUCGAUUGACAACACUACAAGUUAGUUGAGGCUGAGGAUGAAGAGGGCAAUGCCAUAUGUUUUUGCUACCAAAGAAAAGGAGUAUUACUUUGAAAGCAAACUACAGCUGACUUUGCAAAGAGGAAGAGCAAAGGUGUGGACUUUGAAGCUCUAAGUCGCCAUGGGCAUAAAGAUGGAUUAUCUGUCCUAAAGUUCCACCACCCAAGGAGCCAGAACAGGAACAAAAUUGGUCUUGGUCAAGUGGGAAGGGAACUCGGGAAAAAGAGAAAGAAACAUCUGACUAAAUUGAUGAUUAGUUGAUCUCUUCAAACUUGUGUUUCUUGAUAGUUGAAAAAGUUUUAUUGUUUGCGUUAAGGAUUUAAAAGUUGAUUUUUCAAGUUCUUUCCGAUAAAAUGCUUUUUCCUGUUCUUUUUGAGAUUGACAACAAGUCUGCCAAUUUGAAACCCAAAAAAUUGACAAAAUCGUAACUAAAAUCUUUCUAGUUGUAUAGUAUUCGUAGAAGUAUCCGAUCUGUGUAGAAGGCGUCAUCUUGUGACGAUCUUCAGAACGCCAAUGUAAUUCCUGUAUAGGUAUAUACUACCAAUUUUGGUUACCCCAUGAGUCACGACAACACAAUUCUGUUCAACUAUAUGUAAGCCCUUGUGUCAUCGAUAGAGUUGUUAUUUGCAAACAUGUAUUAUAUAUGAACAAGGUACCAUAGACAUCAGGCUUUCAAAUGCUUCAA